AUUGUCAGUAGAUGCAUUGCAUUUGUCGCUGUUGUGCUCAUGUGUGUCAGUAGGGGACAGAAAGGGGAGAAGUUCGGUCUAAGCUCUUUGACAUAUGAACACGUGAAUGAUUAGUCACCUAACACU
ensembl:snoRNA Gm24680 predicted gene, 24680